UACGUAGGGGGCAAGCGUUGUUCGGAAUUACUGGGCGUAAAGGGCGCGUAGGCGGCACGGCAAGUCGGGAGUGAAAGCCCGGGGCUCAACCCCGGAACGGCUUUCGAAACUGCCGAGCUAGAGUGCGGAAGGGGCAACCGGAAUUCCCAGUGUAGCGGUGAAAUGCGUAGAUAUUGGGAAGAACACCUGAGGCGAAGGCGGGUUGCUGGGCCGACACUGACGCUGAGGCGCGAAAGCCAGGGGAGCAAACGGGAUUAGAUACCCCCGUAGUCC
rnacentral:rRNA from 1 species